rnacentral:tRNA from 1 species
GCGGUCGUGGCGGAACUGGUAGACGCGCUAGCUUGAGGUGCUAGUUCCCGAAAGGGAGUGGAAGUUCGAGUCUUCUCGACCGCACCA